GUUUGUGGCUCAGUGGUCGAGUGCUCGCCUAGCACACAGGAAGCACUGGGUUCGAUUCUCAGCACCACG
rnacentral:tRNA from 1 species